rnacentral:rRNA from 1 species
AAUUAAUAAAGUUUUGGCCUGCCCGGUGAUCUGAAAUGGUUUAACGGCUGCGAUUGAAACCGUACUAAGGUAGCAUAAUAAUUUGCCCUUUAAUUGGGGGAGAGAAUGAAUGGUUUGACGGUAAAAAAGCUGUUUUAAAAAUAAAAAAAGAAGUUAACUUUUAAGUGAAAAGGCUUAAGUUUUUAUAAAAGACGAGAAGACCCCGUCGAGCUUAAUUAGAAUAACUUAAAUGUAGGUUAUUUAAAAUUUUAUUGGGGCAAUAGAAAAUGAAAUGAAUCAUUUUUUUUAUUAUAAGGAUCCAGUUUUGACUGAAAAAAGCAAAAGCUACCGCGGGGAUAACAGGGUAAUUUUUUCUGAGAGUUCAUAUUUAAGAAGAAGUUUGCUACCUCGAUGUUGGAUUAGAAUUUCUUUAUGCUUGCAGCAGGUAUAAAUAGUAGGACUGUUCGUCCUUUAAUUU